UACAGAGGGUGCAAGCGUUAAUCGGAAUGACUGGGCGUAAAGGGCGCGUAGGUGGUUAUUUAAGAUAGUUGUGAAAUAUCUGGGCUUAACCUGGAGGAGUCAACUAAGACUGGGUAGCUAGAGUUGAGGAGAGGGAAGUGGAAUUUCCGGAGUAGCGGUGAAAUGCGUAGAUAUCGGAAGGAACACCGGUGGCGAAGGCGGCUUUCUGGCCGAAGACUGACACUGAGGCGCGAAAGCAUGGGUAGCAAACAGG
rnacentral:rRNA from 1 species